UACAGAGGGUGCGAGCGUUAUUCGGAAUCACUGGGCGUAAAGGGCGCGUAGGCGGUUUGGUAAGUCUGAUGUGAAAGCCCCGGGCUCAAUCCGGGAAGUGCAUUGGAUACUGCCAGGCUAGAGUGCAGGAGAGAGUGGUGGAAUUCCAGGUGUAGAGGUGAAAUUCGUAGAUAUCUGGAGGAACAACAGCGGCGAAGGCGGCCACUUGGACUGUUACUGACGCUGAAGCGCGAAAGCGUGGGGAGCAAACAGG
rnacentral:rRNA from 1 species